CAGUGGUGCGUUUCCAAGGCAGCUGCGUCAAACUGGAGGGAGUACCGCCCCCCUGUGGACACCUGGAAGUGUGGAGGAUCCAUUAGGAACUUGGACCUUGCCUGUGGUAUGAGCUCAUCAUAAUCCCUGUGUAAUGCGGUCUGUGGUUUGUUACCUGGGAGUGAAGCUGACCUGAAGACACUGGCUGCAGCUGCUGACAUGGAGCUCCUUGGACUUGAGAAGCCCAAAGUC